AAUAUAUUUAUCUUUUUUUCAUCGGCUAUUGUUAGUGUUAGUAUAUUAAUGUGUGGCCCAAGAUGAUUCUUGUUCCAGUGUGGCCCAGGGA